rnacentral:rRNA from 1 species
AUUGAACGCUGGCGGCAGGCCUAACACAUGCAAGUCGAACGGCUGCAGAGUACUUGCUCGUGCUUACGGCUGCCGACGGGCGAGUGGUUGAGAAAUAUAUCCGUAUUUAUUUUUUCGAGGGGGAGAAAGCGGGGGCUCUUACCCCAUAACUCCUUACGACGUAAGUGUGGGAGCAUCGGACCUCACGCUCUCACGUGAUCGUAUGACGCGAUGUCGGAUUAGCUAGUUGGCGGGGUAAAGGCCCACCAAGGCGACGAUCCGUAGCUGGUCUGAGAGGAUGAUCAGCCACACUGGAACUGAGACACGGUCCAGACUCCUACGGGAGGCAGCAGUGGGGAAUAUUGGACAAUGGGCGCAAGCCUGAUCCAGCCAUACCGCGUGGGUGAAGAAGGCCUUCGGGUUGUAAAGCCCUUUUGUUGGGAAAGAAAAGCAGCAGGUUAAUACCCCGCUGUUCUGACGGUACCCAAAGAAUAAGCACCGGCUAACUUCGUG